rnacentral:rRNA from 1 species
UACGUAGGGGGCUAGCGUUGUCCGGAUUUAUUGGGCGUAAAGAGCGUGUAGGCGGCCAGGUAGGUCUGGUGCGAAAACUCGAGGCUUAACCUCGAGAUGUCAUCGGAAACCAUCUGGCUAGAGUCCGGAAGAGGAGAGUGGAAUUCCUGGUGUAGCGGUGAAAUGCGCAGAUAUCAGGAGGAACACCGGUGGCGAAGGCGGCAUCCUGGACCGGCAUUGACGCUGAGGGAAGCGAAAAAGCCCAGGGGGGAGCAAAAACGGGGAAUUUAGAUACCCCCUUGUAAGUCCCAGACCCAA